rnacentral:rRNA from 1 species
AUAUUCACGAAUUCUUCCGAUCUGAGCCAAAAAGCCACACAUAUUGCAACUUCCUGGGAAACAGAGC